rnacentral:tRNA from 4 species
GUAAGUAUAGUUUAACCAAAACGUUAGAUUGUGAUUCUAGAAACAGGAGUUAAAACCCCCUUACUCACC